rnacentral:lncRNA from 1 species
AUUUGUACACCUAAUAGUAAGAAAUGAGCCCCUUAUUAGAUGAGGAGGACUUUGGAAUAAGAAUAAGUAAAUAGAAUAAGUUAAUAGAAUAAGUAACUGCUAUGAGCCUCUCAGGAUAAAGAGGACAUUUGUACACCUAAUAGUAAGAAAUGAGCCCCUUAUUAGAUUAGGAGGACUUUGGAUGGUGAUAACAUCCUUGACUAAUAUUGCAAUGAAAGAAGUGUAAAAACCAGCAAGCACAUUUGUCUUCAUACAGAUACAGGAAAAAACAGAGUAAGAGAGUGGGGUAAAAUAGAGUGAUUUGCUAACUGAUGGGUAUGGUUUUCCUCUGUGUGUGUGUGUGAAUAUUUAAAGUGAAUGGUCACUUGCUGAUGAUUAUGUUUAGAGGGAAGUCCUAGUUAAAGAUUAGGAGAAUCCAGGGAACUUUUUCUCCCGCUUUCUUUCUCUUCUUACAGGCCUGAGAACAGAAAGAAAGCCAAAACAUCUAGUUUAACUAUCCUAGUUGUGUGAAAAUUUUAAAUGAUAUACCGUGAUAAGGGGAAUGGUGUAUAAUAAAUUUAGGUAGUCUUAUGGUAUAAGAAAUCUUUCAAUAGUGGUAGGAAAUGUUGUUUUCAAGUGUAUUGAGUGAAUUAAACAUUUGAUUUGUUCUUUGUCCCUAACUCUGAUGCAUGAGAGGGGAGAGGAGAAUGAAAGGCAUCUGACGCUGGAGCACCCAUAAGACAGAUAAGAAGAUUAUUGGCUGUGCUGCAACAAGAGGGGGCUUGCGGAUGAGAGGCUCACCAGGUCCAGCUCCCAUUUGACAGGCCAGUAGAGUUUUAUCUACAAACUCUUCUCCUAUGUGUCUGCUGCUACUUAGUUGUACAUACACAUUUAUAGUGGGAACACAUUUAGUUGGGUGUAUAUAUUUGUUAGUGCUAGACAAUAAGAGCAGUAGUUUUGUUGGUAAAAAGAAAGGCUUGGCAUUAGACUGACCAGUUGAAAGGGCUGAUUAAGUACCGGAUUAUUGUUGAAUUAAAAGAGCAUUUCCAAGAGGUCUAAAUUUUGCUGAAACGUGUGGAUGUGGUUUGUCAUUGCUGCUUGGUAAAAUCACACAGAUUGAUCUUUUUUGGGUGUUGAUAAGUUUUUGGUCUCAGGGGAGGCUUCAUGAGAAGCACUAAGGGACAAUCGCGCCCACUCAGAGGACAUGUAAACCCUGAUAGGGGGCCAGAACCUGGAUUUUAGGGGUGCCCAGAAGACCUAAAAGGGGGAUGUCAGCUGGUAGUGUCAGGGCCAGAACAAGAGCCAACCAUUGAGGUGAAAGUGAAUGAUAAACCAUUAACAGUUAUGGCAGAUUGCGGAGCUGCCUUCACCUGUGUUAGGCCCAAAGAUGCUAUACAUCUCCCCAUGUCUGGCCAAUUGGUACGGACAAUAGGUUUUGAGGGUGUGAAACAGCUGAUACCUCUUACAGAACCCGUUGAGCUCUGCUAUAAAAAUCAAAAGACCACAAUACCGAUACUAGUGUCAGAACAAACACCUAUUGCACUUUUGGGCAGAGAUGCUUUGUGUAGGUUGAAGUGCACAAUACGAUGCACACCAGACGGCUGUCUGGUGGAUGUACCAAGUGAUAGUUGGCAACAACUAUUUAUGAAAACAGAGACUGAAGCGUCUGCAGUGUUUUGGAUUGGGAACCUUAGCCAGGAGUUGCUAGAGCCAGCAAAGCUGUGGGAGAAAUUUAUUGUGGCCAAUAUGACUGAGGUGAAGUUACCUGAGUAUCCAGACCACUGUACACUGAAGUAUUUUAAAGAUGCUACACAGACCAACUCAGCAGACUGGUUGAAGCAACAACCAAAACAAGUCCAGCUUAGCUCCAGUUCAAUAAUUUGGGGCCACAAGGAGCAGCUAUGAAGAUAGAGAGUAAUGAAUAUCUUGAAAAAGAACAUGACAUCGAAGAAAGCAUUCCUCACGUGACUUUGAUGGUGGCCGAGACCUAUGAACAGAAGCAUAUAGGCUCAAUGAUGGUAGAAGCAGAGAAAGCUAUUUUCACACCAGUUAAGGAAAAUCCUGCUAUUUGGGUGAGUGAGGAUCAGCAGUUCAUAAGGAUUGUUAUCUCUGCUCACGUACAGGGUCAGCCACAAGCUGUACAGAUGACACAUGAGUCAAUUUGCAGUGCUAAACUUGACUCAGACGCUAUAAAAGAAGACACGCUACAACACGUGCCAGAACAUCUGUGGUCUCGAUAUAGCACUGGUAUUGGACUGAAGGAAUCAGAGAGAUAUUCAAAACUACGGUCAGACUUGCAAGCCCUUCCACUUCAGAAAGCAGAUGUAGAGUAUUGGACUUAUGGGUCGUGUUAUCGGAUUGGAGACAAAUUGAGCGCUGGCUAUGCAGUUGUAAAAGCUGAAGGAGAUGGAUUUGUUGUCGAAAAGGCAAAAACAGUGCAACAACCAGCAUCUGCACAGCUGGCUGAACUUGUAGGACUAACUGAGGCAUGUCUUUUGGCAGAGGACAAACAAGUGACAAUUUACACAGACUCUGCAUAUGCACAUAAUGUUUGUCACUUGUUCGGAGCACUGUGGAAAAAUCGGGGAUUUAAAAAAAAAAAAAAAAAAACAGAUGGGUCUCCUAUACAGCAUCAUGCCCAGAUAACCAAAUUGCUGCAUGCAAUGAUGAAGCCGAAAGAAAUAGCAAUAGCUAAGUGUGCAGCACAUAAAGGGGACAUGUCAAGAGUAACUCAGGGCAACAGAGCAGCUGAUGAGGCUGCAAAAGCUGUUACUGUAACGGGUAUUGACUGGACCCAAUUGCAGCACAAACAAGCAGGUUCACUUUAACAACAGUCUUUAUUGAACACCAAAUCCAAUGAAGCAGCAGAGUAUAGCAGGUGGAUAUGGCAGGAUUCGAACUCGGGUCUUCCGGGUGAUAGGCGAGCAGAUUAGCAGUGGACCACAGGUCAGGAAAGAGUUUUGGACUCGUGAGCAGGGAAUUGUCCACAGUCUUAAUUUGCUCCACGAGUGUAGUGAAGGGGAAAAUGCUCAACUCACAGCUGGAGGAAGAUUUCUUGGAGAGUGGUUCAGGUGAGGACUGGGUGAGGAUCCAGAGCUUGCAGAGGAGCUGGCAGAACCAACGUCGGCAGAGGAGGUGAGUUGGCGAGGUGAAGCUGACGAGAAGGGGGAUCUCAACAGAGCAGGAACAGGCUGAGUGCCAUUCAGCCGCAGGCAGACGAAUAGCAGGAAACAGGCAGGCAAAGCUCGUAGUCAAGGACAGAAGGCAGGCAGGUUUACCGGGGCUGAGGCGAGAAGCAAAGGUCAGGGGCAGAUCAGGUCGAUACCAGGUAAGCAGUCCGGGAAUUAACGCUGGAGAGUCAGGCAUGAGAGCGAAGACAAUCUGGCAAAGAGUGAGGGGAAAGAAGCUGCAUAUAUACUGGCCUGAUUGGAGAUGAUGAGCAGGUGAGAGCAGCAGGUGGAAGCAGUUAGCUGAUGAGGGGUGUGGCUGAGCAGCAGAGCAGGAGAGGGGCAGAGCAGACUGUUACAGUUACAGGGGCAGAUAAAGAGGGCAAAGUUCUUCUGAUCACUCAUGAAUUAGACUUAGAAGAUAAAAUCACCCUCAAAGACAUAGUCUCAAUGCAAGAAGCGGCCUCUGAAAUAGACAAACAUCUCCUUAUAUUUAUCUCUAUACAAUAGACACACUCAAGGAUGAGAGUGAAGAUGAUGAGCAGCCGAAAGAAGAAGAGAAGAUGAGAACAGCAGCAAAGAUGGUGAACAUGGACAAGAGUUUCCGGGCAUGAAGGUACACUGACUGCAUCCUUUGUUCUUUUCUUUCAGAAUGUAAUCACUUCUUAAAGAUUGGUCUCUACAUACUUUGGUGGAUAUCUGUUAAAGGAUAUUGUAUUUUAAUAUUUUUGUCUUUUCAUUAUAGUUUAACAAGUGUAAGAGUGGCCUCCUAACACAGCAGUUAUCCAGCUGGUGACUGAAAAGGACAGAAGAAACUCUGGAAGGAGAGCAGCCAUGUUGACACGGAGGCUGCACCACAUUUUGCACAUGCAAAUAAAUUAUGAC